AGUCGAACGAGACCUUCGGGUCUAGUGGCGCACGGGUGCGUAACGCGUGGGAAUCUGCCCUUGGGUUCGGAAUAACAGUUAGAAAUGACUGCUAAUACCGGAUGAUGACUUCGGUCCAAAGAUUUAUCGCCCAAGGAUGAGCCCGCGUAGGAUUAGGUAGUUGGUGGGGUAAAGGCUCACCAAGCCGACGAUCCUUAGCUGGUCUGAGAGGAUGAUCAGCCACACUGGGACUGAGACACGGCCCAGACUCCUACGGGAGGCAGCAGUGGGGAAUAUUGGACAAUGGGCGAAAGCCUGAUCCAGCAAUGCCGCGUGAGUGAUGAAGGCCUUAGGGUUGUAAAGCUCUUUUACCAGGGAUGAUAAUGACAGUACCUGGAGAAUAAGCACCGGCUAACUCUGUGCCAGCAGCCGCGGUAAUACAGAGGGUGCGAGCGUUAAUCGGAUUUACUGGGCGUAAAGCGUGCGUAGGCGGCU
rnacentral:rRNA from 1 species